CAGCAGUGGGGAAUAUUGCACAAUGGGCGGAAGCCUGAUGCAGCGACGCCGCGUGAGGGAUGACGGCCUUCGGGUUGUAAACCUCUUUCAGUAGGGAAGAAGCGAAAGUGACGGUACCUGCAGAAGAAGCGCCGGCUAACUACGUGCCAGCAGCCGCGGUAAUACGUAGGGCGCAAGCGUUAUCCGGAAUUAUUGGGCGUAAAGAGCUCGUAGGCGGUUUGUCGCGUCUGCCGUGAAAGUCCGGGGCUCAACUCCGGAUCUGCGGUGGGUACGGGCAGACUAGAGUGAUGUAGGGGAGACUGGAAUUCCUGGUGUAGCGGUGAAAUGCGCAGAUAUCAGGAGGAACACCGAUGGCGAAGGCAGGUCUCUGGGCAUUAACUGACGCUGAGGAGCGAAAGCAUGGGGAGCGAACAGGAUUAGAUACCCUGGUAGUCCAUGCCGUAAACGUUGGGCACUAGGUGUGGGGGACAUUCCACGUUUUCCGCGCCGUAGCUAACGCAUUAAGUGCCCCGCCUGGGGAGUACGGCCGCAAGGCUAAAACUCAAAGGAAUUGACGGGGGCCCGCACAAGCGGCGGAGCAUGCGGAUUAAUUCGAUGCAACGCGAAGAACCUUACCAAGGCUUGACAUGAACCGGUAAGACCUGGAAACAG
rnacentral:rRNA from 1 species